GGGGGCGUACCGGUUUCGACGGGGAUGCUGAACUGGAGAUAGCGAGCAGCGGAGCCUAGCCGCUUACCAAUGGGCACUUAUAAAUUAAAGAACAACGAUAAUUACGUUGCUGUCGCUGCUUAAUUAAGCAGUUGACUUCCGCCCAUUCGCGCGCGGACGCCGACCCCGGGAGGACCACGGACCGGGCGGGGUGAUGCCUUUAGUGGUAAACGUGAGCGCCAUAAGCUUUGCCGGCGCCAUGAUCUCAUGAAGCUACUGAUCCUGUGAGUGUGUCGCUUCACGCACAGGAAAGGGAAUGUAAAGAAGUGACUGCGCUCGGAGAAGUCUCCACGGAUACAUUUUCGGACACGGGUUCAACUCCCGUCGCCUCCACCA
rnacentral:tmRNA from 1 species